UGGAACGAUUCAUUAGGAGCCUCUGG
rnacentral:piRNA from 1 species